rnacentral:rRNA from 1 species
GUUAGGAAUAUUGGACAAUGGGCGAAAGCCUGAUCCAGCCAUGCCGCGUGAACGAUGAAGGCCUUCGGGUUGUAAAGUUCUUUAGCCGAUGAUUAUAAUGACUGUAGUCGGAAAAUAAGCCCCGGCUAACUUCGUGCCAGCAGCCGCGGUAAUACGAAGGGGGCGAGCGUUAUUCGGAAUCACUGGGCGUAAAGCGUGCGUAGGCGGUUUUGUAAGUUAGGAGUGAAAGCCCAGGGCUCAACCUUGGAAUUGCUCUUAAAACUGCAAGGCUCGAAUCUCGGAGAGGAUAGCGGAAUUUCCAGUGUAGCAGUGAAAUGCGUAGAUAUUGGAAGGAACACCAGUGGCGUAAGCGGCUAUCUGGACGAGUAUUGACGCUGAGGCACGAAAGCGUGGGGAUCAAACAGGAUUAGAUACUCGGGUAGUCC